UGAGGAAUAUUGGGCAAUGGACGCAAGUCUGACCCAGCAACGCCGCGUGGAGGACGAAGGCUUUCGGGUUGUAAACUCCUUUUAUGGGGGAAAAGCAAGGAUGGUACCCCAAGAAUAAGUCACGGCUAACUACGUGCCAGCAGCCGCGGUAAUACGUAGGUGACGAGCGUUAUCCGGAAUUAUUGGGCGUAAAGCGCACGCAAGCGGUUGAACAAGUCUGACGUGAAAUCUCUUGGCUUAACUGGGAGCGGUCGUUGGAAACUGUUCAGCUUGAGGCGAUGAGAGGGGUGCAGAAUUCCCGGUGUAGUGGUGGAAUGCGUAGAUAUCGGGGGGAAUACCUGUGGCGAAAGCGGCACCCUGGCGUCGUUCUGACGCUCAUGUGCGAAAGCGUGGGGAGCGAACGGG
rnacentral:rRNA from 1 species